GGGGAAGCCAAGUCAGGGCAAGCAUUGUUGAAGAAUAUUUCAGCUGAAUUAUCACACAAACUGUGGACGACCACAACGGCAACCAGAUGCAGGGAGGCAACAUCAGGCCCCUUCUCAGCCCCCCUCCCCUUCUCACUCCCCCUCCCCUUCUCACUCCCCCUCCCCUUCUCAAUCCCCCUCCCCUUCUCACUCCCCCUCCCCUUCCCAGUCCCCCUCACCUUCCCAGUCCCCCUCAGCUUCCCAGUCCCCCUCACCUUCCCAGUCCCCCUCAGCUUCCCAGGCCCCCUCAGCUUCCCAGUCCCCCUCAGCUUCACCGGCCCCCUCAGCUUCCCAGGCCCCCUCCCCUUUCCACUCCCCUUCUCAGCCCACCUCUCCUUCUCUUUCUGUGCCCCCUUCUCCUCCUUCCCAGUCCACUUCUCCUUCUACUUCCAACUCCCCUUCUCAGCCCCCCUCACCCUCUA